GCUGGGCAUGGUGGUGCAUGCCUGUAAUCUCAGCUACUUGGGAGGCUGAGGCAGGAGAAUUGCUUGAACCCGGGAGGCAGAGGUUGUGGUGAGCCGAGAUCGUGCCACUUACACUCCAGCCUGGGUAACAGAGUGAGAUUCUGUCUCAA
rnacentral:SRP_RNA from 1 species